rnacentral:rRNA from 1 species
AUGAACGUUGGCGACGUGGAUUAGGCAUGCAAGUUCGAGCGGGCCAGCAAUGGUCAGCGGCGCAAGGGUGAGUAGGCGACGGCAAUCAACCCCGAGGAUGGGUAUAAGCCGCGGGAAACUGCGGGUAAUCCCCAGCGAUGCGAGGGCGUCGGCAUCGACGCUUCGCCAAAGGAUUCGUCCGCCUCGGGACGAGCCGUCGUGGUAUUAGGUCGUUGGCGGGGUAGCGGCCCACCAAGCCUUCGAUGCCUACCGGGCGUGCGAGCGCGGCCCGGCACACCUGGGACUGAGACACUGCCCAGACUCCUACGGAGGCUGCAGUCGAGAAUCUUCGGCAAUGGGCGCAAGCCUGACCGAGCGACCGUCGCGUGGAGGGACGAAGGCCUUCGGGUUGUAAACUCCUGUCGAGGGGGAGAAAGGUCCCGCAAGGGGCUUGAUCGAUCCCUGGAGGAAGCACGGGCUAAGUUCGUGCCAGCAGCCGCGGUAAGACGAACCGUGCGAACGUUAUUCGGAAUCACUGGGCUUAAAGCGCGUGUAGGCGGAUUGGUGCGUCGGCGCCUGAAAUCCCCCGGCUCAACCGGGGAACGCGGCCCGAAACGACCAGUCUGGAGGGACGUAGGGGGGACCUGGAACUUCCGGUGGAGCGGUGAAAUGCGUUGAGAUCGGAAGGAACGCCCGUGGCGAAAGCGAGUCCCUGACGUCUGCUGACGCUGAGACGCGAAAGCUAGGGGAGCGAACGGGAUUAGAUACCCCGGGUAGUCCUAGCCGUAAACGAUGAGCACUGGGUAGGGGGCCCUGCCCAUGGGCUCCCUGCCGCAGGGAAACCGUGAAGUGCUCCGCCUGGGGAGUAUGGUCGCAAGGCUGAAACUCAAAGGGAAUUGACGGGGGCUCACACAAGCGGUGGAGCAUGUGGCUUAAUUCGAGGCUACGCGAAGAACCUUAUCCUGGGCUUGACAUGCAGGGAUUAGCCGGCGGAAACGUCGGUGACGCCGCACAGGUGGAACCUGUGCAGGUGCUGCAUGGCUGUCGUCAGCUCGUGCCGUGAGGUGUUGGGUUAAGUGCCCGUAACGAGCGAAACCCCUGCGACCAGUUGCCAGCGCGUCAUGGCGGGGGACUCUGGUCGGCCACCGCCGGCGUCAAGCGCGGAGGAAGGCGGGGACGACGUCAAGUCAUCAUGGCCCUUAUGCCCAGGGCUGCACACGUGCUACAAUGGGGUGGACAAAGCGUCCGCCAGGCCGCAAGGCCGAGCCAAUCGCAAAAACCAUCCCUCAGUUCGGAUUGCGGGCUGCAACCCGCCCGCAUGAAGCUGGAAUCGCUAGUAAUCGCGGAUCAGCAUUGCCGCGGUGAUGUGUUCCUGAGCCUUGUACACACCGCCCCCGUCAAGCCACCAAGCGAGGGGCAUCCGAAGUCGUCGGAGCCGCGAGGCAGGCGCCGAAGAUGAAACUCGUGAUGGGGACU